CAUUGAUCAAGAACGAAGGAAGGGGGAUCGAAAACGAUUAGAUACCGUUGUAGUCUCUUCUGUAAACUAUGCCAAUUGGGGAUCGGUACAGGAUUUUUAAUGACUGUAUCGGCACCCGAAGAGAAAUCUUUAAAUGAGGUUCGGGGGGGAGUAUGGUCGCAAGGCUGAAACUUAAAGGAAUUGACGGAAGGGCACCACCAGGUGUGGAGCCUGCGGCUUAAUUUGACUCAACACGGGGAAACUCACCAGGUCCAGACACAAUAAGGAUUGACAGAUUGAUAGCUCUUUCUUGAUCUUGUGGUUGGUGGUGCAUGGCCGUUCUUAGUUGGUGGAGUGAUUUGUCUGGUUAAUUCCGAUAACGAACGAGACCUUAACCUGCUAAAUAGACCAGCCGGCUUUGGCUAGCUGCUGUCUUCUUAGAGGGACUAUCAGCGUUUAGCUGAUGGAAGUUUGAGGCAAUAACAGGUCUGUGAUGCCCUUAGAUGUUCUGGGCCGCACGCGCGCUACACUGACAGAGCCAGCGAGUCUACCACCUUUGCCGGAAGGCAUGGGUAAUCUUGUGAAACUCUGUCGUGAUGGGGAUAGAACAUUGCAAUUAUUGUUCUUCAACGAGGAAUACCUAGUAAGCGUGAUUCAUCAGAUCGCGUUGAUUACGUCCCUGCCCUUUGUACACACCGCCCGUCGCUACUACCGAUUGAAUGGCUUAGUGAGGCCUCCGGAUUGGCUAUUGGGAGCUCGCGAGAGCACCCGACUGCCGAGAAGUUGUACGAAAUUGGUCAUUUAGAGGAAGUAAAAGUCGUAACAA
rnacentral:rRNA from 1 species